ACACUUGGGUGGGGGAGGGGCAGGGGGGGUGACAAGGGGUGUCCCCCCACCCUAUAGGGGGAGGGGAGGGGGGGGGGGGACCCUGAGAGGAUUGGGGGGGGAGGGGCAAGCCAAGGUGGCCCCAUGAGGUGGGGAUGAAGAUGGUCAAGGGGCGUCGAGGGUCAACUGGAAGAGGAACCAACCCAAGAAGGUUCUAUCAAGGUCAAGGGCCAUUGGCCAAUCAGGGCUUGGGCCACGCCCACCCAGCGAUGAACCAAUCCCAGGGCUGGACCUCCAAGCGACCACCAAUGGUCAACCGAGGUCUUCAAGAAGAUCAACCCAACCAAUGGUCAACGGAGCUCUUCAACCCAACCAAUGGGCAACCGAAGUCUUCAAGACCAACCCCACCAGUUCCCACCCAGUCCAACUGGGAUGGACCAGUCCAGGACUGGUCUGACCCCACCAGUGAUGACCAACUCAAGGUCUGGACCACCAAUGGUCAACCGAGGUCUUCAAGACGAUCAACCCAACCAAUGGUCAACCAUGGUCUUGACCCACUUGACCAAUCCCUACGUGGCACAAGAAACCGGAGAAGGUCCCAGUUGAGACCAGUCAAGGUUCCAGUGACCUCAUCUCCUCUGGACCCACCUCCAUCCCCGCCCCCGGUGGCCAACUGCAAGAAGCCAAAGCCACCCAACCGGUGGCCCAAGGGUGGCACCACCCAACCCUGGAGGUGGCCACCACCCAACCCAAAGAGGUGGCCACCACCCUACCCAAAGAGGUGGCCACCACCCUGAGGAACACCUUGACCUUCUCCUUCCUCCUCCCGUGACCUCACCGGCGCCUCCCACCGGCCAAUAAAAUAAGCUUAAAAAAAACA
rnacentral:lncRNA from 1 species